GUAGGGUKCGAGCGUUAAUCGGAAWUACUGGGCGUAAAGCGUGCGCAGCCGGUUUAUAAGACAGAUGUGAAAUCCCCGGGCUUAACCUGGGAACUGCGUUUGUGACUGUAAGACUCGAGUGUGGCAGAGGGGGGUGGAAUUCCACGUGUAGCAGUGAAAUGCGUAGAGAUGUGGAGGAACACCGAUGGCGAAGGCAGCCCCCUGGGUCAACACUGACGCUCAUGCACGAAAGCGUGGGUAGCAAACAGGAUUAGAUACCCUGGUAGUCCACGCCCUAAACGAUGCGAACUAGGUGUUGGAGAAGGAGACUUCUUUAGUACCGCACKAACGCGUGAAGUUCGCCGC
rnacentral:rRNA from 1 species